UACAGAGGUCUCAAGCGUUGUUCGGAUUCAUUGGGCGUAAAGGGUGCGUAGGUGGCGCCAUAAGUCAGGUGUGAAAUCUCGGGGCUUAACUCCGAAACUGCAUUUGAUACUGUGGUGCUUGAGGACUGGAGAGGAGACUGGAAUUCACGGUGUAGCAGUGAAAUGCGUAGAUAUUGGGAGGAACACCGGUGGCGAAGGCGGCCCCCUGGACCGGUAUUGACGCUGAGGCGCGAAAGCUAGGGGAGCAAACGGG
rnacentral:rRNA from 1 species